UACGUAGGGGGCGAGCGUUGUCCGGAAUCAUUGGGCGUAAAGCGCGUGUAGGCGGCUCGGUAAGUCUGCUGUGAAAGUCCAGGGCUCAACCCUGGGAUGCCGGUGGAUACUGUCGAGCUCGAGUCCGGAAGAGGCGGGUGGAAUUCCUGGUGUAGCGGUGGAAUGCGCAGAUAUCAGGAGGAACACCAACGGCGAAGGCAGCCCGCUGGGACGGUACUGACGCUAAGGCGCGAAAGCGUGGGGAGCGAACAGG
rnacentral:rRNA from 1 species